AUUGAACGCUGGCGGCAUGCCUUACACAUGCAAGUCGAACGGCAGCGGACCUUCGGGUGCCGGCGAGUGGCGAACGGGUGAGUAAUAUAUCGGAACGUACCUUUCAGUGGGGGAGUAACGUAGCGAAAGUUACGCUAAUACCGCAUAUUCUGUGAGCAGGAAAGCAGGGGAGUCGCAAGACCUUGCGCUGAUUGAGCGGCCGAUAUCAGAUUAGCUAGUUGGUGAGGUAAAGGCUCACCAAGGCGACGAUCUGUAGCGGGUCGUGAGAGGAUGAUCCGCCACACUGGAACUGAGACACGGUCCAGACUCCUACGGGAGGCAGCAGUGGGGGAAAGUUUUGUACGAAUAGGCGGGCGACG
rnacentral:rRNA from 1 species